rnacentral:rRNA from 1 species
AUUGAACGCUGGCGGCACGCCUAACACAUGCAAGUCGAGCGGAUGAAUGGAGUUUGCUCCUGGAUUCAGCGGCGGCCGGUUGAGUAAUGCCUAGGAAUCUGCCUGGUAGUGGGGGAUAACGUCCGGAUACGGGCUCUAAUAUCGCAUACGUCCUGAGGGUGAAAGUGGGGGUUCUUCGGUCCUCACGCUAUCAGAUUAGCCUAAGACGGAUUAGCUAGUUGGUGGGGUACGUGCCUACCAGGGCGACGAACCGAAGCUGCCCUGAGAGGAAGGCCUGCCACACUGGAAGUGAGACGCGUUCCAGACUCCUACGGGAGGCAGCAGUAGGGAAUAUUCGACAAUGGACGAGAGCCUGAUACAGCAAUGCCGCGUGUGUCAAGAAGGUCUUCGGAUUGUAGAGCACUAUAAUUUGGGAGGAAGGCCAGUAAAUUAAUAUCUUCAGGUAUUGACGUUACCAACAGAAUAAGCACCGGCUAACUCCGUG